GAGAUACUCCCUCUGUCCGGAAAUACUCGUCGGAGAAAUUAAUGUAUCUAGACGUAUUUUAAUUCUAGGUACAUCCAUUCUUAUCAAUUUCUCCGACAAGUAUUUCGGACAGGGGGAGUAUGAA
rfam:Triticum aestivum genome assembly, contig: Triticum_aestivum_CS42_TGACv1_scaffold_514108_6BS